rnacentral:rRNA from 1 species
AGAGUUUGACCCUGGCUCAGGAUGAACGCUAGCGAGACGCUUAACACAUGCAAGUCGAAUGCCAACUUGUUGGCAUGGCAGACGGGUGAGUAACACGUGCUUAAUUUGCCCUGGAGUGGGGGACAACAUCGGAAACGGUGAUAAUCCCGCAUACGCUCUGAGAAAUGAAAAUACUCAGAGGAAAGAUUUAUCGCUCUAGGAGAAGGGCGCGGCUGACUAGUUAGUUGGUGAGGUAAUGGCUCACCAAGACGAUGAUCAGUAGCUGGUCUGAGAGGACGAUCAGCCACAAUGGGACUGAGACACGGCCCAUACCCCUACGGGGGGCAGCAGUGGGGAAUCUUGCGCAAUGGACGAAAGUCUGACGCAGCGAUCUCGCGUGAAGGAUGAAGCUUUGCGGAGUGUAAACUUCUUUUCUGGGAGAAAACGACUGAUGGUAUCUCAGGAAUAAGGAACGGCUAACUACGUGCCAGCAGCCGCGGUAAUACGUAGGUUCCAAGCGUUAUCCGGAUUUACUGGGCGUAAAGCGUCCGUAGCCGGCUUUGUAAGUCCGCUUUCAAAACCCGAAGCUCAACUUCGGAUCGGGAGUAGAUACUGCAAAACUAGAGAAAGAUAGAGGUAUGUAGAAUUUCAGGUGGAGGGGUGAAAUCCGUUGAUAUCUGAAGGAAUACCGAAAGCGAAGGCAGCAUGCUAUAUCUUUUCUGACGGUCAAGGACGAAAGUAUGGGGAGCGAACGGGAUUAGAUACCCCGGUAGUCCAUACCGUAAAUGAUGCUCGCUAGGUGUAUAGUUCGCACUGCGGAUUAUGUGCCGUAAGCUAACGCGUUAAGCGAGCCGCCUGAGUAGUAUAGUCGCAAGGCUGAAACUCAAAGGGAUAGGCGGGGGAACACACAAGCAGAGGAUUGUCUCGAUUAAUUGGAUAAUAAGCCA